rnacentral:rRNA from 1 species
UAACAAGGUCUCCGUUGGUGAACCAGCGGAGGGAUCAUUACUGAGUUUACGCUCUAUAACCCUUUGUGAACAUACCUAUAACUGUUGCUUCGGCGGGUAGGGUCUCCGCGACCCUCCCGGCCUCCCGCCUCCGGGCGGGUCGGCGCCCGCCGGAGGAUAACCAAACUCUGAUUUAACGACGUUUCUUCUGAGUGGUACAAGCAAAUAAUCAAAACUUUUAACAACGGAUCUCUUGGUUCUGGCAUCGAUGAAGAACGCAGCGAAAUGCGAUAAGUAAUGUGAAUUGCAGAAUUCAGUGAAUCAUCGAAUCUUUGAACGCACAUUGCGCCCGCCAGCAUUCUGGCGGGCAUGCCUGUUCGAGCGUCAUUUCAACCCUCAAGCUCUGCUUGGUGUUGGGGCCCUACAGCUGAUGUAGGCCCUCAAAGGUAGUGGCGGACCCUCCCGGAGCCUCCUUUGCGUAGUAACUUUACGUCUCGCACUGGGAUCCGGAGGGACUCUUGCCGUAAAACCCCCCAAUUUUCCAAAGGUUGACCUCGGAUCAGGUAGGAAUACCCGCUGAACUUAAGCAUAUA